rnacentral:rRNA from 1 species
AUUGAACGCUGGCGGCAGGCCUAACACAUGCAAGUCGAGCGAGAGGCGGACGGGUGAGUAAGGUAUGGGAAACUGCCUGAUGGCGGGGGAUAACUACUGGAAAAGGUAGCUAAUACCGCCUACCAUCGGAUGAGCCCAUAGGGGAUUAGCUUGUAGGUGGGGUAACGGCUCACCUAGGCGACGAUCCCUAGCUGGUCUGAGAGGAUGAUCAGCCACACUGGAACUGAGACACGGCCCAGACUCCUACGGGAGGCAGCAGUGGGGAAUAUUGCACAAUGGGCGCAAGCCUGAUGCAGCCAUGCCGCGUGUAUGAAGAAGGCCUUAGGGUUGUAAAGUACUUUUAGUCGGGAGGCGUUACCUACAGAAGAAGCACCGGCUAACUCCGUGCCAGCAGCCGCGGUAAUAC